UCUUAUGGAUGAGCAAAGAAAGUGAUUCCCUGAGAUGCGAUCUACUCCUUGUAAAGAUGCUGUGAA
rnacentral:pre_miRNA from 1 species